rnacentral:rRNA from 1 species
AUUGAACGCUGGCGGCAGGCCUAACACAUGCAAGUCGAGCGGAUGAAGAGAGCUUGCUCUCUGAUUUAGCGGCGGACGGGUGAGUAAUGCCUAGGAAUCUGCCUGGUAGUGGGGGAUAACGUUCCGAAAGGAACGCUAAUACCGCAUACGUCCUACGGGAGAAAGCAGGGGACCUUCGGGCCUUGCGCUAUCAGAUGAGCCUAGGUCGGAUUAGCUAGUUGGUGAGGUAAUGGCUCACCAAGGCGACGAUCCGUAACUGGUCUGAGAGGAUGAUCAGUCACACUGGAACUGAGACACGGUCCAGACUCCUACGGGAGGCAGCAGUGGGGAAUAUUGGACAAUGGGCGAAAGCCUGAUCCAGCCAUGCCGCGUGUGUGAAGAAGGUCUUCGGAUUGUAAAGCACUUUAAGUUGGGAGGAAGGGCAUUAACCUAAUACGUUAGUGUUUUGACGUUACCAACAGAAUAAGCACCGGCUAACUUCGUGCCAGCCGCCGCCGUAAAAC